rnacentral:rRNA from 1 species
AACGCUAGCUACAGGCUUAACACAUGCAAGUCGAGGGGCAGCAUUGGAGUAGCAAUACUUCAGAUGGCGACCGGCGCACGGGUGAGUAACACGUAUCCAACCUGCCGUUUACUCGGGGAUAGCCUUUCGAAAGAAAGAUUAAUACCCGAUGGUAUAAAGAGUUCGCAUGUUCUCUUUAUUGAAGAAUUUCGGUAAGCGAUGGGGAUGCGUUCCAUUAGAUAGUUGGCGGGGUAACGGCCCACCAAGUCUACGAUGGAUAGGGGUUCUGAGAGGAAGGUCCCCCACAUUGGAACUGAGACACGGUCCAAACUCCUACGGGAGGCAGCAGUGAGGAAUAUUGGUCAAUGGACGAGAGCCUGAACCAGCCAAGUAGCGUGAAGGAUGACUGCCCUAUGGGUUGUAAACUUCUUUUAUAAGGGAAUAAAGUGAGGGACGUGUCCCUUUUUGUAUGUACCUUAUGAAUAAGGAUCGGCUAACUCCGUGCCAGCAGCCGCGGUAAUACGGAGGAUCCAAGCGUUAUCCGGAUUUAUUGGGUUUAAAGGGAGCGUAGGUUGACAUAUAAGUCAGCUGUGAAAGUUUACGGCUCAACCGUGAAAUUGCAGUUGAUACUGUAUGUCUUGAGUGUACAAGAGGUGGGCGGAAUUCGUGGUGUAGCGGUGAAAUGCUUAGAUAUCACGAAGAACUCCGAUUG